rnacentral:lncRNA from 1 species
AUGACCUGUAACAGGGGAAGGGAAGAGAGGGUAGAAGACUGAGAGCAGAGAAGUUGAAAGAAAAAAAGAAGCAAACUGGGACCCAGAAAUUACAAAGUACCAGACAGGCCCAGUGGCCUAACUACCGUAACUCUUCCACCCCAAGAUAUGGAUAAGACCAGUAACCAACCAG